GGGUCAAUGAUGACAACAGAAAGUCAAUUACAGAAUGAUGACAUAAAUAUCAUGCUCAAUAGGAUUCUGCUGAGGCCC
rnacentral:snoRNA from 1 species